AACGCACCUUGCGCCCUUUGGUAUUCCGAAGGGCAUGCCUGUUUGAGUGUCAUUAAAUUCUCAACCUUGCUCGCCUUUACCGGCUUGAGUGAGGCUUGGACGUGAGGGCUUUGCUGGCUUCCUUAAGUGGAUGGUCUGCUCCCUUUAAAUGCAUUAGUGGGAUCUCUUGUGGACCGUCACUUGGUGUGAUAAUUAUCUACGCCUCGUCGACUUUGAAGCAAACUUAUGGGAACCUGCUUAUAACCGUCUCGCAAGAGACAACUUUCUGACAUUUUGACCUCAAAUCAGGUAGGACUACCCGCUGAACUUAA
rnacentral:misc_RNA from 1 species